GAUUUACUGGGCGUAAAGGGCGCGUAGGCGGCCAGCGCAAGUCAGUUGUGAAAUCUCCGAGCUUAACUCGGAGAGGUCAACUGAUACUGCGCGGCUAGAGUGCGGAAGGGGCAACUGGAAUUCUUGGUGUAGCGGUGAAAUGCGUAGAUAUCAAGAGGAACACCUGCGGCGAAGGCGGGUUGCUGGGCCGACACUGACGCUGAGGCGCGAAAGCUAGGGGAGCGAACGGGAUUAGAUACCCCGGUAGUCCUAGCCUUAAACGAUGAAUGCUUGGUGUCUGGGGUUAUAAAGUCCCCGGGUGCCGUCGCUAACGCUUUAAGCAUUCCGCCUGGGGAGUACGGUCGCAAGACUGAAACUCAAAGGAAUUGACGGGGACCCGCACAAGCGGUGGAGCAUGUGGUUUAAUUCGACGCAACGCGAAGAACCUUACCUGGGCUAGAAUGCCUCUGACAACCUUAGAGAUAGGGCCUUCUGGGUAAAACCAGACAGAGUGCAAGGUGCUGCAUGGCU
rnacentral:rRNA from 1 species